CAAGAUUAAGCCAUGCAUGUCUAAGUAUAAGCUUUUAUACGGUGAAACUGCGAAUGGCUCAUUAAAACAGUUAUAGUUUAUUUGAUGGUCUCUUUUACAUGGAUAACCAUGGUAAUUCUAUGGCUAAUACAUGCGCAAAGGUCACCUCCUUUGGAGGGGCUGUGUUUAUUAGAUACAAAACCAACCCACUUAACGGUGGAGCCUUGGUGAUUCAUAGUAACCGAACGGAUCGCAGUUGGUUCUUUUGGACCCGCGAUGGAUCAUUCAAGUUUCUGACCUAUCAGCUUUCGACGGUAGGGUAUUGGCCUACCGUGGCAGUGACGGGUAACGGGGAAUUAGGGUUCGAUUCCGGAGAGGGAGCCUGAGAAACGGCUACCACAUCUAAGGAAGGCAGCAGGCGCGCAAAUUACCCAAUGAAAACAGCUUCGAGGUAGUGACGAGAAAUAACAAUACAGGGCAUUUUAUGCUUUGUAAUUGGAAUGAUGGGAAUGUAAAACCCUUCCAGAGUAACAAUUGGAGGGCAAGUCUGGUGCCAGCAGCCGCGGUAAUUCCAGCUCCAAUAGUGUAUAUUAGAGUUGUUGCAGUUAAAAAGCUCGUAGUUGGAUUUCUGUCGUGGUCAUCCGGCGCCGCCCGUAUGGGUGUGGGCCUGGCAUGCCCUCGGCUUUCUUC
rnacentral:rRNA from 1 species